AUAAAAUUUAGAAUUUAAAUGCGUACAAAAGAAUACUGUGUUAUCAGAUUUAGAUAGCUGGGCGUACUCAACGAUUUCAUUGUUCACGCAAGCGUCGCUCAUCGAUGUUUUCUUUCUUUCUGAUAAGUUGCAUGAAAAGCAUUUAGUUUGAAAUGAAUCGCUACAGAGUGCGCAAGAGAUUGAGUGUUUAUAACGUCACCUUUUACAAUUAUUGCAAUUCAUUCCAGAUAGCCGCAUAGUAUUAUGUAACUCAAGUUCACUUGAAAAGACAAAAAAAGAAAUUUAUAAGAAAUUUUAAAUUAUUGAAAUUAUUUUUUUUCAACUGUUUUAAAACAAUGUUUGUUACACUAUUAGUAUUAUGCGUUUCUAUUAUAUUAUUGUAUUUCAUUACUUAUUAUGGAAGAUUCAGACGUCUUAUCGGAAAAGUUCCAAGUAAGCCGGGCCUGCCAUUUAUUGGCAAUGCUUUAGAGUUCUUCAUGUAUUCACAGG
rnacentral:lncRNA from 13 species